rnacentral:lncRNA from 1 species
UUCUUCUCUCGUAGCCAACAAAGGUAAAGCCACUGCUUCUUAUCUAGUUUACUUAACAAGCACCGAUACCCGAAACCAGUCAUAUUCUACAUUGAUAUACGAUCUCGUAGAAGGUGUAGCUCCGUUGUUCUGCCCACUACCUAUACAGGAGGAUGCGGUUAAGGCUUACAGAAAGAACAAGCAAGCGAACUGACUUUUGUGAAAUUCCAUAAUUAGGCUUAGGCUUCUUCAAUUCCAUUGUUAACUCCUGCUUGAGACAGACUAAGAACUCGCAAACUGCACAGCGGACUUAAAAACAACUGAGACUUAUCGACCGGGACUUAUUCCUAUGGCUACCGGAGAGAUAAGAUGGUCUAAUUAUAGGAAAGCAAGAAAGCUUAUUUCUACACUUCUAUGCAAGCAAAGACGAGAAUCGAUAGUGAUAGUACUACCGAGGUAAGUUCAUAACCAUAAUAAUGUCCCUGAACCCAAUACUCAAGCAAGAGGUAAGUUCAUAACCAUAAUAAUGUCCCUGAACCCUGACUUUGAUAUUGAUAUUCCAAUUCGAACCCUGACUUUGAUAUUCGAAUUCUCUUAUGGAACUCCUUUUUCAUAUAUUGGAUUAAUGAGCUUCUCUAUACUUGCUUCUUUCGUUUUGGAUUAAUGAGCUUCUUUCUCUAUACUUGCUUCUUUCGUUCCCGCUCUGUGGGCAAAAGUGCUGCCCUAUUGUGUAAAAGUAGUCUCAUCUCCCUUUUUCGCUUUCAAGCCGAUCCACCAUCAUAUCGCUUUCAAGCCGAUCCACUAUCAUAUCAAGGAAGUCGGCGCCACCAUAACCCUAGACUGCACAUCAAAAGGCACAUCUUUCCCAUUUUCUUGAGAUAGUUUAGUCCCAAAAGUGUUCAAUUAUCUGGAAUGUAUCGGGAGCAGGGAAAGGAGUUGUCAAAUCCGUAAUGAACAUCCUUGUUGUCGUCGGAUCUCAUGAAAUCUUUUUCCAUAUCACUAACAGUAGAUAAAUCCUCUACAUUGAUUAUUUGACCCUAAACUACACAAUUCUCUCAGAGUUAAUUACUUGGUGGUCAACAUUUGUCUGACACAUUAGCGUGGUAACAGGCGAAGAAACCGCUAUUUCCAUAUUAAUGUCCAUAAUCUUUCCUUACUUAGAAAGCAUUGACAGUGUGUAUUUGUUGUCAGGUUGCGUCUUUUCAGCACUCACAUGCUACUGGCGUGCACUGUUAACCACCGGGGCGGGUCUCCACCAUCGUCUCUGGCACCGGCCGGCCAGAUACACCAUUGUUCUACUUUUUGAGAGGUGUUUCUCCUCUGAACUCUAAUCCAUGGACAGUACAAGUGAUCAUCUUUAGGAUCCAGAGAAGUCUUUUGCUGAUUUGAGGAGCCAUCCUGCCUUUUUGGCUCAACACGCUCAUAUUGGAAUCUCCUUUCUUUUUGAAUAAGAAGUGUUUAUAGGAUGGACAUGCAUACAUCUUUAUAUGACCGAUACUGCCACAGUAGAAGCAUACGGACGGCCAUUUCUCAUAUUCAAUCACCUGAAGGAUCCCCUCGUUAGGGUUACCGAUCCAAACACCCAGUUGGAAGGAGAUGAAAUAGUAUCUCCCCUGCAGACAAGCAGACAGCUUUCAUAUAAGUAAGGGAAAGUCCAAGUACUAGAUUUUGGGCCAG